AUCUAUGGCCAGACCAGACUGAAUACAAUUCCAUCUGAUUUCAAAAACUAAACAAUCCUGGGCCUGGCUACUAUUUCGAUGGGAAACCACCUGGAAAUCCAGGGUUUGCAGGCA
ensembl:rRNA 5S_rRNA 5S ribosomal RNA